CAGGGAUGCAGCAAGGCUUUAAAGGGACAGGCUUCGGAUGCAUGGGAUGCUUUUGUUACAGCACAUGGCGAGAAGAAGACGGGCUGUCAUCUCCAGCGAAGCAUCCUCCGAAGCGCAUCAGCAAAGACACGUGUUCACAAAACCAUUGUGAGAAGCGUUGACAUCAUCCGCUGGUGGUGUAUUUGUAACUACAGGAACAAUGCUGAGGAACCAGCAUCCGCUCAGCAGCUCUCUCAGCCCCACCCAGCAGCACUCAGCAUCUCUGCAGUACUUCUUCCUCAAAGAUAGAGAGAGAGAGGGAGACGGAGCGGGAGAGCGAGUAGGAAGUGGGAAGUCACCUCCGUCACUCCAUUAUCAGCAUUCCACAUCUGCUGAGGAACAUUUUCAUUUAAACAUCUGAAUGUGAGUCAAACACGUCUCCGACAAGAUUUCUAAGCUAACUGACAUCAUUAUCUGCCGUCUCAGCUCCAUAAUCGGCUGCCCUAAUGCAUUUUUUAAUUGUUUUCUUUCCCCAAUACGUGUUCCACACCUGAGUAGAGAAGGAAAAAAGUACCAUCUAUUAAAUGAACAUCUCGUCAUCUGCCUGACCAGCUAUUUCAGGUCUCUCCAUUAGCGAGACACAACGAAUCCAUCUGACGUCCAAACUGUCAUAUCCCCGAGCCUAUAAAGAUCCCUAUAACAUGCUCAACAAUCCAAAAAAUGGAGACAAUUGAUUUUCGCCUGCCAAGAAUGAUCGUAAUAAAGUUUUACAAGCAUGACGAAUCCCCGAGGUUAUGAUCUAUGCACAUUCUCAAAGGAAAAAGAUUUCUCUCUCUCCAUCGAAUUAUCUUUAGACAAAUGGUGGCGACAGUAUAAUUGGACAUUAGUCUUAAUUCGCAUGUUACAGGAGCUGAAUUGAAUGCUCGCUCCUCUUGGCUGGACACCAAGCUCUUUUUCUCCGCACGCCGCGUUCGGUUUUUCUAAUUGUGCUUGGUGAAAGGCGGCCAUCCUAAACUGAAGAGCAUAAUUUAACUGGCCUUAAUAAAGGAUUACUAUUCAGCGUAGAGCCUAUUAUUUUCCAGCUAGACUCCCGACCGGAGAUAAAUAGGAACGGUACUCUCACCUUUUUUUUCUUUCUCUCACUUGCUUCCACUUCUCUGGAAUCUUAAGUAAAUGUAUAAGUGCAUGCGGAAACGGAUUUAGCUACUUAAAGAAAAUGAGAGGGGACCGAAGCAAAAAAGGACGCCUCGACUUUAUUCAGACGUACUGAGGAGCCUAUUAUGGCUUAUAUGUUUUUUUAAUGGGAAAAACCAUAGUUGAUCCGAGCUAAUUUCCCUUGUGCAGCUUGGGCUCUGAAAGUAAUCCAUCACCUCAGUAUGAGGUGGUGGCGGCGAGAAGCCACGUCUCUAAUGAAGCUCUCCUUCAGAGGGCUAAAGAAUCGCGCUGUCAGUCUCCGCUCAAUGCCACCCCCGACACAAUGGCCUCCCGAUUGUUGCUUUCUCUUUGUAUGUGUUAACCCAAGCAGGGCCUUAUACAAAAUGAAUGGGCUGAUGUAACCUUAGCUUUGACGGUCCCCUGCCAUCCCGAAACACCUGUCAGUCACGCUUUUGUUGUCGGCGCAGGUGAGUUUGACGUUGCGCGCCGUACAUAUUUCUGAAUCUUGCGGUUUGUGUUACGUCGUGCCAGGCGCUCCGUGACCAAGGAGGGUUUUCAGCUAGAUUUUGUUGUUGUUUUUGUUGUAGAGUCCUCCGCCCUCUGGACUGAAAGGAAAUAAGAGUGCUUCUUUCAGAGAGAAGGGGGCACAAUCCAGUCGUUCGUGUCUUCCAAGGAAGGUAGAACUAAAUGCACUCAGCUGUCCUUUUUCAAAUGUCACUAUCAAAGGUCUAGGAUGUGUGUGUGUGUGGAGAGGUUUUUAGCAGAAUGAUGUGCAAGCUAUAAGAAAAGGCCAGCUCGCUGCACCUUUCCUGCCUCGCCUUUGCUGUCGCUCUCUCUUCCGUGCAUUGAUCUGUCACUUAAAACUGAUCACUUCAUUAUCUCCCGAACGGCGAGUGUUACAUGGGAGUCGUGAGCAUGCUUAACCGAGUGCUUUCUUGUUUAUGACAGGCUUUUACACCCAAGGGUAAUGGCCUCGGUGGCUAAUGGUAAUUCAUGGAACGCAGGACUGAUGGGAAUGGAGUUUAAUGCUUGGAAACACUAAGUGUCCUAACUGUGGGACGAGUUUUGAACAGAAUGUUUGGUUUUAAAUGAUUUUGGACCAAUGAGAUUUUGUGGGCGGGGUUAUGCAGCACCGGCGCUCAGAUUUACAUGGUUGCACUAAAUAAAAUUAAAUAAAAUUGCAUAAAAUAGUAGAGUCAGUAGAGAUAGUAGUAGAGAAUAGUAGAAUUAAAAUUAUGUGUGGGGUCAAAAAUUAACAGCAAAUGCAAAAAAAGCUAAAUGCUUUAGCGCUUUAGCAAAUUUUUCAAAUCUAAUUUAAAUGACCGACUCUCAUGCCUUCAAACUACUUUGACUAGGUGGAAAAUUUCUUGCAUUUAGCUAAGCAUUAACAAAC
ensembl:lncRNA